AGUGGGGGAAAACGGGGUGAGUAAACACGUGAGUAACCCUGCCCCUUAAACUCUGGGGAUAAGCCUGGGAAACUGGGUCUAAUACCGGAUAGGAGCGCCUACCGCAUGGUGGGUGUUGGAAAGAUUUAUCGGUUUUGGAUGGACUCGCGGCCUAUCAGCUUGUUGGUGAGGUAAUGGCUCACCAAGGCGACGACGGGUAGCCGGCCUGAGAGGGUGACCGGCCACACUGGGACUGAGACACGGCCCAGACUCCUACGGGAGGCAGCAGUGGGGAAUAUUGCACAAUGGGCGCAAGCCUGAUGCAGCGACGCCGCGUGAGGGAUGACGGCCUUCGGGUUGUAAACCUCUUUCAGUAGGGAAGAAGCGAAAGUGACGGUACCUGCAGAAGAAGCACCGGCUAACUACGUGC
rnacentral:rRNA from 1 species